ensembl:snRNA U6 U6 spliceosomal RNA
UGCUCGCUUCGGCAGCACAUUACUAAAAUUGGAAUGAUAGGGAGAAGAUUACCAUGGCCCCUGUACAAGAAUGACUCGCAAAUUCGUGAAGCAUUCCGUAUUUUU